CCUGGUCUCUGUCUUCUCUCUCUGUCAUCUACUUUUACACCCUUUUGUUCAGAACCUCUGUUUGAUUUCAAAACUGCUGAGGCUUUUGGCCCACAGGUUCCUAAUGCUUUCAAUAGAGCAACUCUUUCACUCAGAGUUCAGACUCUGGCCUUUGUGUUCACUUUGAACCUGUGGUUUUCUGUGAAUAAAAUGUUAUCACCCCACAAACUUUUAAUCGACUGAGACAUAACCUCCUGCUGCUCUCCAGUCCACCCCCCUCCCAUGAGCCUCUAGUCUGAGACUCCUGGGAGGGCUGUUUGACGGGUGUGGUUAGAGGACACUGAGGCUGUAAUGUGAAGGGCUCCUGAUCACGUGACCAUUUCUUGUUUUCCUCUGACUGCCACAUCUGUUCAUGAUUCUCACCUCGUCUCUCUGCAAAUGAGGACCUAUAUUUAGUGUGUGCAAUCAACAGUUCCAUCUCCACUCUCAGUAUACCUUUCGGUGCUUUACAUUUAAAUGUGAUCAUAACGAUUGGUACAUUUCCCUGAUAAACACCUUGUGUUUGUGUUCUGUUACCCAACUCGGCUGUCAAUGUCUCCACUCCCUCUGGUUCCUUUUUUAUUUUUAAAGGGUAUGGGAGUUUCCUGCCAGGAAGUGACACUAACUGCCGUGUGUGUGUGUGUGUGUGUGUGUGUGUGUGUGUGUGUGUGUGUGUGUGUGUGUGUGUGUGUGUGUGUGUGUGUGUGUGUGUGUGUGUGUGUGUGUGUGUGUGUGUGUGUGUGUGUGUGUGUGUGUGUGUGUGUGUGUGUGUGUGUGUGUGUGUGUGUGUGUGUGUGUGUGUGUGUGUGUGUGUGUGUGUGUGUCGGUUGUUUUUUCAUGGUGUGCCCAAUAGGGUUGUCUGUGUUGUGCAGAAGCUCUCGUGUGUGUGUGGUGUUUGUGUGUUAGCUCCGGAGUGUUUCCAUGACGGUCAAGGCAAUGUCAUACAUCUCACUACUACAUACAGACCUUCCUCUCCCUAAAGUCGUGCACCUUUAUUCUUUAAAAUCAUUCCAUUAUGUAUUUGUCGUUUCUUUGUGUUGUAAUUGGAGUUUAACUCUGGGCAUACCGUUGGUGGGGGAGGGACACAGAUUACGGGGUUUUUGUUUCUGCUGUGCUCUGUCAGUCAGGGCUGCUGGGACUGCUUUCCCUUCCUCCCUUCGCUCCCUCAGUCAUGAAGAGGCUUAAACCACCUGUAUGUUAAAUAUGUUACCUGUAUAGAAAACAACUAACUGUAUAGGUAGGACAUCAUGAAUUCUUUGUAUAAUGAAAAUGAGAAGAACUCACCAUUCUGUAAUACCUAGUGUCUUUCUGGAAAAUGAAUUGAAUAUUUAAACAUUGGCGUUGUUGAAUCCAAAGCCUCUGGACCCGUUUUAGAGCAGGUGUCUAACAACAGUCUUACUGCUCUCAGAUGAGUACAUUUACUUGGUGUGUGCGUGUCUCGAAAGCUGAUUUGUGUGUGAUGCGAAGCUGUAAAAUAGCUGGUGAAGGAGAAAUAAGAUGUUUUUUGACUGUGUACAUCAUUUGAACAGAACUAUUAAAAAUCGGAUUCACAAAUGACUUGUUUUCUUUUUUCUAAAUUCACAGGAUAUCAAUCAAGAAUGGUGUUACCACAUUGUUUGUGCUGUUUCAGUAUU
ensembl:lncRNA